rnacentral:pre_miRNA from 1 species
UUUGUACUCCCUCCAUCCCAAAAUUCUUGUCUUAAAUUUGUCUAAAUACGGAUGUAUCUAGUUACAUUUUAGUGUUAGAUACAUCCGUAUCUAAACAAAUAUAAGACAAGAAUUUUGGGACGGAAGGAAUACUAC